UCAGGGGAGCACGCUGGGAGGAGGGGCACCUCGGGAAAGCAAGGCGCUCCAGUCCCCAAGACCCCAGGUUGUCACCAGAGGAUCCUGACGCGCAAGCAGCCGCGUUGUGUUAAAUCCACAAGACUUGUCACCCCAACUUCCCACUCCUAAAACCUAAGUGGGGGAUGAAAAGGAUCCUAGGGUGACGGAAGAAAGUAGAAGCUCUAUCUUCUGUGCUUGGGAUCCAGAAAUAAAAGCAAUGAACAGGGGAGACGGAGGCAGACGACCGGGCACGCGUCGGAUACGGGUCUUGCGGAAGAGUGGGAGGUAGAGUUGACAGCUGUGCAAAGUCUGGGGAGAGAUCUGAACAGGAGAUAAGAAUGCAGGACACCUCAAUAUCUCAGGUUUUUGAUCACCAUUUACUUCCUCUCCUUCAGUUGCAGUUAUAUUCUCCUUUUCCUUCAAGGU